ACUCCUGCGGGAGGCAGCAGUGGGGAAUUUUGGACACUGGGCGAAAGCCUGAUCCAGCAAUGCCGCGUGAGUGAAGAAGGCCUUCGGGUUGUAAAGCUCUUUUGUCAGGGAAGAAACGGUGAAAGCUAAUAUCUUUUGCUAAUGACGGUACCUGAAGAAUAAGCACCGGCUAACUACGUGCCAGCAGCCGCGGUAAUACGUAGGGUGCAAGCGUUAAUCGGAAUUACUGGGCGUAAAGCGUGCGCAGGCGGUUUUGUAAGUCUGAUGUGAAAUCCCCGGGCUCAACCUGGGAAUUGCAUUGGAGACUGCAAGGCUAGAAUCUGGCAGAGGGGGGUAGAAUUCCACGUGUAGCAGUGAAAUGCGUAGAUAUGUGGAGGAACACCGAUGGCGAAGGCAGCCCCCUGGGUCAAGAUUGACGCUCAUGCACGAAAGCGUGGGGAGCAAACAGGAUUAGAUACCCGGGUAGUCCCAUG
rnacentral:rRNA from 1 species